UAACCAAACUGUUUAAUGCCUAUUAUGUCUACAGAAAGUGUUUAAUGUGGUAUGGCGUGGACUGUGAAACGAUGAAUUUGUGGCUGAAAUCAUGGAGAACAAUCACAGUUUUUGAGGAAUUUAAUAUCAUUUUGAAGACUAGUCGAAGUAUUCUUUGGCCAAUUGAUCAUUAUGGUGUUAUUUCUACUCUAAAAUGUGUUGUCCUGAUUUCACCUACAAGUUCAUCAUCGUCUGCAUUGUAUGAUAACCAUACAACGGCCUUCAAAUCUGCUGCGGAAAAUAUUCCCAGCGACUUGCCGUUCAUAUCGGCUACUUCAUAUGAGCUAUUGCCCUUUCUCGCAACCACGACACACGGCUUAUACUGCGGACCUAAUUUGGCGUUGAAGUUUUGCCGGCCUCCGACAGCGCGAAACUCCUCUUGAAAAUUCGUUGUCCGACAGAGAACGUGGGCGACUACGCAGAUUUCGUUCGGCAACGCUACGUGUGCCUUCUACCGGCAUGCUACGGAUCUUCAACUCGUACUCUAGCUCAUCUAUUGUCAGAUGGCCAGGAUUCAUCGCGUGGUACCACGAUACGAAAUGGGACAUAGCCAUCUCUUCAACAGGCAUUCAACUAAGAAAAUCGAAUAUUGAAUUAAAAAAGAAACUAUGGAAUCCUUUCAAGUGGAUUAUCACCCAAAAAAAUUGAAAAUCCUAGAGAAAAGAAAUACUUCUGUUCAAAGAAGCUGUAAAUUAAAAAAUCCUAAAAUUUGUUCACGCUCCCUAAUGAAGCAAAUAAUUUGAAAAUCCUAGUUUUAGUUCGUCUAUCUUUGAUAAACUUUAGUUUUUAUUUGGUGUUUUACUCAACAGUCUGAAAGAAUACAACACUGAUCAA